rnacentral:rRNA from 1 species
GAUGAACGCUAGCGGCAGGCUUAACACAUGCAAGUCGAGGGGUAUAGUUCUUCGGAACUAGAGACCGGCGCACGGGUGCGUAACGCGUAUGCAAUCUACCUUUUGCAGAGGGAUAGCCCAGAGAAAUUUGGAUUAAUACCUCAUAGUAUGUGAGAAUGGCAUCAUUUUCACAUGAAAGUCACAACGGCAAAAGAUGAGCAUGCGUCCCAUUAGCUUGUUGGUAAGGUAACGGCUUACCAAGGCAACGAUGGGAAGGGGUCCUGAGAGGGAGUUCCCCCACACCGGUACUGAUACGCGGACCAGAGUCCGACGCGAGGGCGCAGUGAGGAGUAUUGGACAAUGGGCGCAAGUCUGAUCCAGCCAUGCCGCGUGCAGGAUGAAGGGCCUAUGGAUUGUGAACUGCUUUUGUACAGGAAGAAUCAGUGGUUCGUGAACCAGCUUGACGGUACUGUAAGAAUAAGGAUCGGCUAACUCCGUGCCAGCCGCCGCCGUAAGAC